rnacentral:lncRNA from 1 species
CGCUCCACCACGCCGUCCACGUGCGCCUUGCGGUCUCUCCAUUUAUCGCUUGAGAUCUCCAGCCUUACCGCGGCUCGAAAUGGACCCCAACUACUCCUGCACCACUGGUGGCUCCUGCACGUGCGCCGGCUCCUGCAAGUGCAAAGAGUGCAAAUGCACCUCCUGCAAGAAGAGCUGCUGCUUCUGCUGCCCCAUGGGCUGAGCCAAGUGUGCCCACGGCUGCAUCUGCAAAGGGACGUCGGAGAAGUGCAGCUGCUGUGCCUGAUGUGGGAACAGCUCUUCUCCCAGAUGUUAAUAGAACAACCUGCACAACCUGGAUUUUUUUUUUAUACAAUACUGAGCCAUUUGCUGCAUUUCUUUUUAUAUUAAAUAUGUGAGUGACAAUAAAACAAUUUUGACUUGAAUCUU